rnacentral:rRNA from 1 species
GUGCCAGCCGCCGCGGUAAUACGGAGUGUGCAAGCGUUAAUCGGAAUUACUGGGCGUAAAGCGCGCGUAGGCGGUCGAAUUAGUCGGGUGUGAAAGCCCCGGGCUCAACCUGGGAAUUGCAUUCGAUACUGUUCGGCUAGAGUCUGGUAGAGGGAAGUGGAAUUUCCGGUGUAGCGGUGAAAUGCGUAGAUAUCGGAAGGAACACCAGUGGCGAAGGCGACUUCCUGGACCAAGACUGACGCUGAGGUGCGAAAGCGUGGGGAGCAAACAGGAUUAGAUACCCCAGUAGUC